rnacentral:tRNA from 1 species
CCUUCGAUAGCUCAGUUGGUAGAGCGGUGGACUGUAGCACGGAAUAUACAAUAUAGACAUCCAUAGGUCGCUGGUUCAAAUCCGGCUCGAAGGA